rnacentral:sRNA from 1 species
UGCGCGAAUAUAUUCAUUAUAGGUUGUG